CCGUGGGGUCGCUAGUGGCAGCACCGUUCCAGGCGGUUAAGGAUUCUGUAGAUGUGGCGGACAAAACAGAUUCUGCCGGAGCAGGCGUGUCCAGUUACCCAGGGAGUGCUGUCGUCCGGGCCAUCACAAAUCCCUUUAAGGGCGUGGCAAAAGUAGGGGAGGCGAUGUGGGGUAAAGACGAUAAAUAAUGAAUAGAAGAUAAAAACAGUACUUGUGAUGGCAUUUUAGAAAAGCAUAAGUAGUCCCCUUAUUGUGAAUACUUAAAAUAAACAAUAUGCUUAAAUAAUUAUGAUAUCUUCUCUUGCAUUCUAUAUAUAUAUGAAAUAUGAUUUUUUUAAAUAAAUAAUUAAGCCUU